rnacentral:antisense_RNA from 1 species
ACCAGAUGACCAGGAAAUGCGGCUGGCUUUUCUUUGGAAAAGAGAGUGUCGGAUGAAGCACUACGGAGAGCUUCUGUAAGGGAAAGAAUGACCCCUCGGGACAGUCAAGGGCAGAGGCUCUGUUACAAGGUCCUGCUCCCGGAGCCACAGCUAUGCAGUUGGAGGCAUCACGCUCAUAUAGGAAUGUGUGCGGUCAUACUGAACACAUGUGCAAAGCCACAAAAACAAGGAUGUCCAGUGAGGGACCAACACAUUGGCCAGGAACAACUCAGACGCCCAGCAGUCUGGAGCGGGUUGGACUGGUCCUGCCAUUCUAUGCAGUACUGAGCUACCCCAAAGCGGGUGGAUCCACCAAGACACACCGGAUUUGGUUGUUAGGUUAAAUGAGAUGCACGUGUCCAGAAGGAACCCAGGAAACUCUUGGGUCAUUCCCUCUGGAGUACCAGGGUAAAACACAUGUGCAAG